ACGGCGUAAAGAGUGGUACCAUGAUAUCACAACAACUAAGAUCAAAGCACAACUAAGCUGUCAUAAGCUCAAGAUGUGUCUAAACCCCCGACGAUCUUAGCACGACCAAUUUAACUCCACGAAAGCUAAGGGACAAACUGGGAUUAGAUACCCCACUAUGCUUAGCCCUAAAUCUUGACGUAGCGUCCGCCCGAGGACUACGAGCACAAACGCUUAAAACUCUAAGGACUUGGCGGUGCCCCAAACCCACCUAGAGGAGCCUGUUCUAUAAUCGAUAACCCACGUUACACCAACCGCCUCUCGCACAGCCUAUAUACCGCCGUCGCCAGUUCACCUUCCUUGAGAGCCCAGCAGUGAACAUAAUAGAAACGCUAGCAAGACAGGUCGAGGUAUAGCCUACGAGACGGAAGAAAUGGGCUACAUUUUCUAAAAUAGGAAGAAGGCGUGAAACCCCUUCUGAAGGCGGAUUUAGUAGUAAAGCGAGACAAUAGCUCUCUUAAAACCGGCUCUGGGCACGUACAUACCGCCCGUCACCCUCCUCAUAAGCUACUGAAG
rnacentral:rRNA from 1 species